rnacentral:rRNA from 1 species
UGUUGAAGAUUAAGCCAUGCAUGUGUAAGUAUAAAGACCUAGUAGGAUGAAACUGCGGACGGCUCAUUACAACAGUUAUAGUUUCUUUGGUUAGUACGAAAAGGAUAACUCUGUUAAUUGUAGAGCUAAUACUUGAGACACUCCACUGUCAAUCUGGUAGUGGCGACCACACCUCGGUGCGGUUUCGAACUAUUCCAUACUGAAAGCUGGAAUAGGGACAAUUGUAGAAUCCAACGGAUUUUAACUAACAAGUAACCAAUGAGAAUUUCUGACUUAUCAACCAGUAGGUAAGGUAGUGGCUUACCUUGGUGAUCACGAGUAACGAGAAAUAAGGGUUUGACAUCGGAGAGGGAGCCUUAAAAAUGGCUACCACUUCCAAGGAAGGCAGCAGGCGCGAAAAUUACCCACUUGGGACACCCAGAGGUAGUGAAGACAAAUAACUAAAUGCUGUCCAAUGGAUAGCGUUUAAGGGAUGAGCUAGACGUUAACACUCUAGCGAAAGCGAUUGGAGGGCAAGUCUGGUGCCAGCAGCCGCGGUAAUUCCAGCUCCAAUAGUGUAUAUUAAAGUUGUUGUGAUUAAAAAGCUCGUAGUUGAAGCGAACGAGAACUUUGGCUUGUUGACUCUGCAAGCAGAGACAGCACGUCAGUGAUAGUUCUAAACACCCCAGAGCACGCUCUUCGGAGUGUGUUUUGGGAUAUUUACUUUGAAUAAAUAUGAGUGUUUAAAGCAAAGCAAAAGCUAAUAGAAUAUGAAGCAUGGGAUAAUAGAGAGGAGAUGCCAUUGCUGCGCACAGAGUGCAAGGCAGGCAUUUCUAGAGAAGGAUUAAUAGAAAGAGAUGGGGUGAUUUAUACGGAAAUGGGAGAGGUGAAAAUCCAUGAUCAUUUUAGGAUAAACUGAAGCGAAAGCAUUUCACUUAAAUCUGUUCAUUAAUCAAGAACGAAAGUUAGGGGAUCGAAGACGAUUAGAUACCGUCGUAGUCCUAACUAUAAACGAUGUCAACGAAGGAUUGGAUUGAACCUUUAUCGCCACUCCGGUGGUGGUAGUAUACUUCAGUUCAGGACUUAGAGGGAAACCUAUAGUUAAUGGACUUCAGGGGGAGUAUGCUCGCAAGGGUGAAACUUAAAGGAAUUGACGGAAGGGCACACCAGGAGUGGAGCCUGCGGCUUAAUUUGACUCAACACGGGAAAACUUACCAAGACCAGACAUUAAGAGGAGUGACAGAGUAAGGGAACUUUCAUGAUUUGAUGGAGAGUGGUGCAUGGCCGUUCUUAGUUGGUGGAGUGAUUUGUCAGGUUAAUUCCGAUAACGAACGAGACUUCAAUCUUUAAUUAGAUUGCGCAGCACUUUGUUGCGGAAGCCAGCAAUGGCCCUCAAACGAGGUCUUCUUAAAGAGACUCUUGGCAAUUUUCAGUCAGCGGGACUACCCCUCGGGGAGGCUCGUAGGCCGAAGAAGCUAAGGGAAGAGAAGCAAUAACAGGUCUGUGAUGCCCUUAGACAUCUUGGGCUGCACGCGUGCUACAAUAUCUAUUUUCAAGAGUACACAGAGCAGUCAAUAGGACCGGUUUGGCUCUCACGAGCUGAGUCAGUCGACUAGGGCUGCGUACCUUCACCGAAAGGAGUGGGAAAACUCGUAAGAUAGAUGUAACAGGGAUUAAUGAUUGGAAUUAUUUGUUAUGGAACGAGGAAUUCCUUGUAAAAUUUUGUCACUAACGAAAGUUGAAUACGUCCCUGCCCUUUGUACACACCGCCCGUCGCUCCUACCGAUUGAAUAAAAAGAUGAAGGUUUAGGAGGAAUCACUUCCAGUGAGCCGAAUGGAUCUGAAUCUCUUUAUUUAGAGG